rnacentral:misc_RNA from 1 species
UCUCCGUAGGUGAACCUGCGGAGGGAUCAUUACUGAGUGAGGGUUUCGGCCCGACCUCCAACCCUUUGUGAAUCGUACUCGUUGCUUCGGGGGCGACCCUGCCGCUUCGGCGGUGCGGCGCCCCCGGAGGCCAUUAAACACUGCAUUCUCUGCGUCGGAGCAUUAGUAAAUCUAAUCAAAACUUUCAACAACGGAUCUCUUGGUUCUGGCAUCGAUGAAGAACGCAGC